UGCCAGCAGCCGCGGUAAUACGGGAGGGGCAAGCGUUAUCCGAAAUGACUGGGCGUAAAGAGUCCGUAGACUGUACUGUAAGUUAUUUGUUAAAUCCUAAAGCUUAACUUUAGAAUAGCUUAUAAUACUACUUUACUUGAGUUUUGUUCGGAAGAGUAGAAUUCCACGUUUAGGGAUAAUCCCCGUAGAUAUGUGGAGGAACACCAUUAGCGAAGGCGACUCUUUGGUAAAAACUGACGUUGAGGGACGAAAGUGUAGGGAGCAAACAGGAUUAGAUA
rnacentral:rRNA from 1 species